rnacentral:rRNA from 1 species
UUUGAAUACUUGACCUCAAAUCAGGUAGGACUACCCGCUG